AGCCCCUUCGACGAGUCGAGUUGUUUGGGAAUGCAGCUCUAAAUGGGAGGUAAAUUCCUUCUAAAGCUAAAUACUGGCCAGAGACCGAUAGCGCACAAGUAGAGUGAUCGAAAGAUGAAAAGCACUUUGGAAAGAGAGUCAAACAGCACGUGAAAUUGUUGAAAGGGAAGCGCUUGCAGCCAGACUUGCCCGCGGUCGUUCUUCUUCCGCGGGCAGGCCAGCAUCAGUCUGGGCGGUCGGAUAAAGGCCUCGGGAAUGUAGCUCUCUUCGGGGAGUGUUAUAGCCCGGGGCGCCAUGCGGCCAGCUCGGACUGAGGUCCGCGCAUCUGCUAGGAUGCUGGCGUAAUGGCUGUAAGCGGCCCGUCUUGAAACACGGACCAAGGAGUCUAACAUCUAUGCGAGUGUUUGGGUGUCAAGCCCGGGCGCGCAAUGAAAGUGAACGGAGGUGGGAACCCCUCGGGGCGCACCAUCGACCGAUCCUGAUGUCUUCGGAUGGAUUUGAGUAAGAGCAUAGCUGUUGGGACCCGAAAGAUGGUGAACUAUGCCUGAAUAGGGUGAAGCCAGAGGAAACUCUGGUGGAGGCUCGCAGCGGUUCUGACGUGCAAAUCGAUCGUCAAAUUUGGGCAUAGGGGCGAAAGACUAAUCGA
rnacentral:rRNA from 1 species